rnacentral:rRNA from 1 species
CAGUCGCCACGGUAAUCCGUAGGUCCCGAGCGUUGUCCGGAUUUAUUGGGCGUAAAGGGAGCGCAGGCGGUUUAGUAAGUCUGAAGUUAAAGGCAUUGGCUCAACCAAUGUAUGCUUUGGAAACUGUUAGACUUGAGUGCAGAAGGGGAGAGUGGAAUUCCAUGUGUAGCGGUGAAAUGCGUAGAGAUGUGGAGGAACACCAGUGGCGAAGGCGACUCUCUGGUCUGUAACUGACGCUGAGGAGCGAAAGCGUGGGGAGCGAACAGGAUUAGAUACCCCUGUAGUCCCUGUCUCUUAUACA